CCUACGGGGGGCUGCAGUGAGGAAUAUUGGUCAAUGGACGAGAGUCUGAACCAGCCAAGUAGCGUGAAGGAUGACUGCCCUAUGGGUUGUAAACUUCUUUUAUAUGGGAAUAAAACGUUCCACGUGUGGGAUUUUGUAUGUACCAUAUGAAUAAGGAUCGGCUAACUCCGUGCCAGCAGCCGCGGUAAUACGGGGGAUCCGAGCGUUAUCCGGAUUUAUUGGGUUUAAAGGGAGCGUAGGUGGAUUGUUAAGUCAGUUGUGAAAGUUUGCGGCUCAACCGUAAAAUUGCAGUUGAAACUGGCAGUCUUGAGUACAGUAGAGGUGGGCGGAAUUCGUGGUGUAGCGGUGAAAUGCUUAGAUAUCACGAAGAACUCCGAUUGCGAAGGCAGUUCACUGGACUGCAACUGACACUGAGGCUCGAAAGUGUGGGUAUCAAACAGGAUUAGAUCCCUGUAGUC
rnacentral:rRNA from 1 species